rnacentral:rRNA from 1 species
GACGAACGCUGGCGGCGUGCUUAACACAUGCAAGUCGAACGGAAAGGCCCCGUUGGGGGUCCUCGAGUGGCGAACGGGGGCGUAACACGUGAGUAACCUUCCCUUGACUUCGGGAUAACUUCAGGAAACUGGGGCUAAUACCGGAUAGGAAUCCUUGCUGCAUGGUGGGGGUUGGAAAGCUUCGGCGGUUUUGGAUGGACUCGCGGCUUAUCAGCGUGUUGGUGGGGUAGUGGCUUACCACGGCGUUGACGGGUAGCCGGCCUGAGAGGGCGACCGGCCACAUUGGGACUGAGAUACGGCCCAGUCUCCUACGGGAGGCAGCAGUGGGGAAUAUUGCACAAUGGGCGGAAGCCUGAUGCAGCAACGCCGCGUGCGGGAUGACGGCCUUCGGGUUGUGAACCGCUUUCAGCAGGGGCGAAGCUUGUGGUGACGGUACCUGCAGAAGAAGCACCGGCUAACUACGU